UACGUAGGCAGCAAGCGUUGUUCGGAGUUACUGGGCGUAAAGGGUGUGUAGGCGGUUUUUUAAGUUUGGUGUGAAAUCUCCCGCUCAACUGGGAGGGUGCGCCGAAUACUGAAAGACUAGAGUGCGGGAGAGGAAAGUGGAAUUCCUGGUGUAGCGGUGAAAUGCGUAGAUAUCAGGAGGAACACCGGUGGUGUAACGCUUUCUGGACCAUAACUACGCUGAGGCACGAAAAGCGUGGGGUAGCAAAACAGG
rnacentral:rRNA from 1 species